GCCCGGGUGGUCUAGUUGGUAUGAUUCUCGCUUCGGGUCAACCCUUAGCCCGAGUUUCCCUUUAAGGAAGCUCAUAUUUGCGAGAGGCCCCGCGUUCGAAUCGCGGCUCGGGCC